UGACCUCGGAUCAGACGUGAUUACCCGCUGAAUUUAAGCAUAUUAUUAAGCGGAGGAAAAGAAACUAACAAGGAUUCCCUAGUAACGGCGAGUGAACGGGGAAGAGCCCAACACCGAAUCCCUUGGCGCAAGUCAACGGGAAAUGUGGUGUUAAGGUAGCCCUUCGUGUCAGUCUAGGCGUCUCAAGUCCACCUGAUUGUGGCUCAAGCCCAGAGAGGGUGUAAGGCCCGUAGAGACGCUCCGACUGAUUCCUGGGGUUUACCUACGAGUCGGCUUGUUUGGGAAUGCAGGCCAAAGCGGGUGGUAAACUCCAUCCAAGGCUAAAUACUGGCACGAGUCCGAUAGCGGACAAGUACCGUGAGGGAAAGUUGAAAAAGAACUUUGAAGAGAGAGUUCAAUAGUACGUGAAACCGCUUAGAGGCAAACGGAUGGUGCUCAUACUGGCCUGAGGAAUUCAACUGUGACGGUGGCUGGACGAGCUGGCGUUCCGAUCUCUCUUUUGGGACGGGCGUCGGUUUGGCUAUCAGCUCCGACAUGGUGCACUUUCCUUGGUGCCUCCGCCACGACCGACGACACUGGCUACCCGCGGCUGGGGUAAGGUGACAAACUGCUUCGGCAAUUUUGUGUUAUAGACCCCGGCGUCGGACAUGGUUUGGCCAGGACGUCGAGCUUGCGGCGCCCGCUCCUUGUGGGCUCGCAUGUUGGCUAGCUUGGCUGCGCCGAUGCUUGCACUGGACAACCAGUACAGGUGACGGUUGUGGUCUUGUCUCUAGUUGGCCUCUGCGAGUUUUGGCGCCUAUAGUCUGUGGUGUACUUGUGGGUAGACUAUCCGACCCGUCUUGAAACACGGACCAAGGAGUCUAACAUGUGCGCGAGUCAUGGGGAUUCUACGAAACCCAAAGGCGCAGUGUGAAAGUAAAGGCCUGCUUCUCGUAGGCUGAGGUGGGAUCUCGUGCAUCGCGAUUGGCGAGCGCACCACCGGCCCGUCCUAUCUGUCUCUGUCAGUGGGGCGGCGCAAGAGCGUACACGUUGGGACCCGAAAGAUGGUGAACUAUGCUUGCGCAGCUCGAAGUCAGUGGAAACACUGAUGGAGGAGCGCAGCGUUUCUGACGUGCAAAUCGAUCGUCAAACGUGAGUAUAGGGGCGAAAGACUAAUCGAACCAUCUAGUAGCUGGUUCCCUCCGAAGUUUCCCUCAGGAUAGCUGGCACUCGGGAAACAGUUUUAUCCGGUAAAGCGAAUGAUUAGAGGCAUUGGGGUCGAAACGACCUCGACCUAUUCUCAAACUUUAAAUGGGUAAGAUGCUCGUCUCGCUUAAUUGGAGGCGGGCUUCACCUCUCUAUAAACGUGAAUGUGAGUGCCCAGUGGGCCAUUUUUGGUAAGCAGAACUGGCGCUGUGGGAUGAACCAAACGCGCGGUUAAGGCGCCCAAUGCGGACGCUCAUGAGACACCACAAAAGGUGUUGGUCGAUACUGACAGCAGGACGGUGGCCAUGGAAGUCGGAACCCGCUAAGGAGUGUGUAACAACUCACCUGCCGAAUCAACCAGCCCUGAAAAUGGAUGGCGCUGGAGCGUCGGGCCUAUACCGUGCCGUUGGGGCGAAGCAGACAAAUAAUCUGUGUGGAUGUCCCAACGAGUAGGAGGGUCGCCGUGGUGAGCGCAGAAGGUGCGGCCGUGAGGCCGGCUGGAGCCGCCACGGGCGCAGAUCUUGGUGGUAGUAGCAAUUACUCAAGUGAGAACCUUGAGGACUGAAGUGGAGAAGGGUUCCAUGUGAACAGCAGUUGAACAUGGGUCAGGCGGUCCUAAGCGAUCGGGUAACUCCGUACCUAGACGAGGGUGACAACUAUCACUGAUAAUACUGUGAAGUGUUAUAGCCCUCCGGAGCGAAAGGGAAUCGUGUUAAUAUUCACGACCCUUACCGUGGAGAUCGCCCCUUUCGGGGGGCAAGUGCGGUAACGCAAACGAACACAGAGACGUCGGCUGGAGCCCGGGAAGAGUUCUCUUUUCUUUGUAAGGAGCGUACCCCCUGGAAUCGGCUUGUCCGGAGAUAGGGGCGUGGCUUCCGUAAAGCAGCGCGGGUCUUGCGCUGUCCGGUGCACUCUAGUCGGCCCUUGAAAAUCUGUGGGAGACAGUGUGAUUUUCACGGUAGGCCGUACCCAUAUCCGCAGCAGGUCUCCAAGGUGAACAGCCUCUAGUCCUAGAACAAUGUAGGUAAGGGAAGUCGGCAAAAUGGAUCCGUAACUUCGGGAAAAGGAUUGGCUCUGAGGGCUGGGUCGGAUGGGCUGGCGUAAGAAAGCUGUUCCGGUUUUGGUGAGGACUGGGCGAGGCUUUCGGGCUUUACUCGGACCAUGCCGAGACCAGGCAGUAGACGACGUCAGCUGUGCUUGUCGUGUUUCGGCGCGGCAGCUUCGUCCGGCAACAAACAGCCAACUCAGAACUGGCACGGACUAGGGGAAUCCGACUGUCUAAUUAAAACAAAGCAUUGCGAUGGCUGUUGCUCGGUGUUGACGCAAUGUGAUUUCUGCCCAGUGCUCUGAAUGUCAAAGUGAAGAAAUUCAAUCAAGCGCGGGUAAACGGCGGGAGUGACUACGACUCUCUUAGACGGGCCGCUUGAUGAUGGUGUGCUGGACUGAGAGACAAACCUGAGCGUGGCGUGGGCAGACCAGCCUGCUGUUACUUGGUGGACAUGCAGGUUAGGCCACUGCCACCUCGAGAUGGUGAAACUAUGCUAUGUUGAGGCAGAAGCUUGGCCGAAGCUUGGAUGACUGUUCAGUAAUGGCGGCUGGAUGCCGGGGGGCUCCAGUUCGAAAAAUGGCUCCACUACUGGGGAAACCUGGUAGAGGGUGAACAUUACUGAUCAGGAUUCCGGGCUAAAGCUUUGCUUCUAGUGCGGAUGAUUGUGAGGAUUGUUCUGCCUUCGGAUUGGGUGGCCCCCCGCACCCGGUUCGGUCUGGUGGUUCGAUUCUCACCGGAGGGAUCCUUGCUCCGUAGGUACGCCCUUGGAGUAGGGGGAACUUCGCUCGAAUUGAAACACGGAUCAGGAUCGGGCCUGCACGCGCUAUGGUCGGGUGCGGCUCGAACUCUAACAUACUUUCAUUUAGCUGGUCUCCGCUUAGGCGGGUCCGGGUUUCGAUUCGGAUGUUGAUGAUCGCAGGGUAAAGGCGCGAUGGCAGAGCUGGCUCGUCUUGGCGACGCCGGAGUGCUUAUCCCUGUCUGACAGUGUUGGUGCCUCCAAGUGGCGAGAGUCGGGCAACGGUGCGGUCGAGUGCGAUGUAUAUAUGUACUUUUUUUAUUCUGUUUAUCUUUUAUUUUCACUUUAUUAACUUUUUUCUAACUUUAAUUUUAAUCGUUCUGGUAUUGUUACCUUUAUAUUUCUCAUUAUUAUUAUUAUUACUUACAUCGUACUCGGUCGUAGCGGCUAAAUCCCACUGUCUAAUCAGCUAGUUCCGGGUUAGCUCCCCGGUUCUGGCUUUGUGUCAUCCACAGGCUCCGAAGACUACUAAGAAAAAUUCGAACUCGGCCACUGCCGAGUCGCAGGGUGACACCUGCACCUCCCCGAAAGGGGUCAGGGUGCCAGUUGGAGCUGUCCGGAUUGUGAGAGAGCGUUUUCGACCAAGACGGGGGCUUGGAGUCCACCGCAGGGCUCGGCACCCUAGUAGUUUCCAUCAGCAGAAGUGUGAGGAAGUUGAGAAAGCAGAGUAAGAGACGGUGGACGGAUGAGGAGAAGCAUAUCCUAGCUAGAGCUGAGGCAGGGUUUAGCGGAGCCGAGGCAGGUAUUAAUGACUUAUUAGUAGCAGCAAAUAUUCUUCCGGGAAGGACUAAGGAGAGCAUUAAGGGGGCCAGAAAGGCGGCAGCUUAUAAGCUCUUGGUUGAGAAAUUUAGAGAGGAGCGUAGUACCGAGCUUGCGGGUCAGAGUGAGAGUGCUGGUACUAGGGACGUGGAGGAGAGUACGGCUAUUAGUGCUAGCGUUGGUAGUGAGAGUAGCCAGCAGAUGGAGUCCAGACCGGAAUUAACUACAAAACCCAAAAAAACUAAUAUAAAGUACAGAAAAAAUCCAAAAAAAGAUGACAGAGUAGGCAACGCAGGUCCGUCCUCCUCCAUGGGGUCCGGGGCUUGCUCUCCAAGGUUGGAAGGUAUCCCGGAGGUCGGGUCCGAAGAGGUGAAUAAGGUAGAGGCAGAGGCUAGCAGAGGUAUUAAUAGGAAAGCGGUAGAGUGGGUUCUUAGUAUCGAGCCGGUUAAGGGCUAUGAGAAGCAGUGCAGUGAGAUUAGAUUAGCGAUCGAAGGUGAGAAGUGGGUUGAGUGUAGUGAGCUCGUUGAGGCGUGUUUCCUUAGCUAUCGUGAUGAGAAGAAAAGUAACGCCAAGAGGCCAGUUAGAAAGAAGGCAGUUAAGAGAGAGCUGAAGAAUAGAGAGAAGCGCAGAAGAGCGUAUGGAGAGAUGCAGAGAAUUUAUAGUAAGGAUAGGAAGAAAGCAGCGGCUGCUGUUUUUAGUGGCGCGUGGAGGUUGUGGAGUGAGCCUAGAGAGGAGAAUAAGCAGUUUGAAGAUCAGAAGAUGGAGUAUUGGAAGAGAGUUUUGGGCAGGGAGUCUGACCCGGAUGGUCGUCCGGUUAAGCCUCUGAGGGAGCCAGCUGUUGAGAUCGAGGAGCCGAUUAGUCUAGCAGAGUGCAAGAAAGCGCUGAGAGACCUUAAGCAGACAGCUUCGGGACCAGAUGGCGUUAGCUGGAAUAGUGUGAAGAGCUUGGGUCCAGGUUGGCUUCAGUACCUUUUUAAUUCCAUCUUGGCGUGCGGGUAUCCUACAAAAUCUUUUAAAAAUUCGCGCACAGUGCUGAUUCCUAAGACAGAAAAACCUAGUGACCCGGGAGAGUUUAGGCCCUUAGCGAUUGCUAGUGUCUUUGGCAGAGUCUUUCAUAGAAUCUUAGCUAGUAGGUUGGGAGUCUGGGCGCCGUUAGGAGCGAGUCAACGAGCCUUUCAGGUUGGGAUCGAUGGUGUCUCUAUGAACCAUCUC
rnacentral:rRNA from 1 species